UCAUCAUAGAAGGUAAUAAUCCUGUAGUCAAAAUAAUAAUUCUUUAGGUAUGAUCCAGAGUACCACGGGACACGUGAAACCCUGUGGGAAGCAGGAGGGACCACCCUCCAAGGCUAAAUACUACCUAGUGACCGAUAGCGUAUAGUACCGUGAGGGAAAGGUGAAAAGAACCCCGGGAGGGGAGUGAAAUAGAACCUGAAACCCUGCACUUACAAGCUGUGGAAGCACAUUUCUUGUGUGACCGCGUACUUUUUGUAGAACGGGCCAACGAGUUACGUUAAGUAGCAAGGUUAAGCACUUAAGGUGUGGAGCCGUAGCGAAAGCGAGUUUUAACUGAGCGUUCAGUUACUUGACGUAGACCCGAAACCGGGCGACCUACCCAUGAGCAGGAUGAAGCGAAAGUAAAAUUUCGUGGAGGUCCGAACCCACGAGCGUUGAAAAGCUCGGGGAUGACUUGUGGGUAGCGGUGAAAUUCCAAUCGAGCCCGGAGAUAGCUGGUUCUCCCCGAAAUAGCUUUAGGGCUAGCCUCAAGGUGAGAGAUACGGAGGUAGAGCACUGAAUGUCCUAGGGGGUAUUGCACCUACCGAAGACUAUCAAACUCCGAAUGCCGUCAUCUUAUACUUGGGAGUCAGACUGUGGGUGAUAAGAUUCAUAGUCGAAAGGGCAACAGCCCAGAUCGUCAGCUAAGGUCCCUAAAUGUAAGUUAAGUGGUAAAGGAUGUGGGAUUGCACAGACAACCAGGAUGUUGGCUUAGAAGCAGCCACUCAUUCAAAGAGUGCGUAAUAGCUCACUGGUCGAGUGAUCCUGCGCCGAAGAUUUCCGGGGCUAAAACUUACUACCGAAGCUACGGCAUCAGUAAUGAUGGGUAGGGGAGCUUCCCAUACGGGUUGAAGCAUGACCGUAAGGACAUGUGGACAGUAUGGGAGUGAGAAUGUUGGCAUGAGUAGCGAGAUGUGGGUGAGAAUCCCACAGGCCGUAAACCCAAGGUUUCCAGGGGAAGGUUCGUCCGCCCUGGGUUAGUCGGGACCUAAGCUGAGGCCGAAAGGCGUAGGUGAUGGACAACAGGUUGAUAUUCCUGUAC
rnacentral:rRNA from 1 species